rnacentral:rRNA from 1 species
UUGAACGCUGGCGGCAGGCCUAACACAUGCAAGUCGAACGGUAACAGGAAGAAGCUUGCUUCUUUGCUGACGAGUGGCGGACGGGUGAGUAAUGUCUGGGAAACUGCCUGAUGGAGGGGGAUAACUACUGGAAACGGUAGCUAAUACCGCAUAACGUCGCAAGACCAAAGAGGGGGACCUUCGAGCCUCUUGCCAUCGGAUGUGCCCAGAUGGGAUUAGCUAGUAGGUGGGGUAACGGCUCACCUAGGCAACGAUCCCUAGCUGGUCUGAGAGGAUGACCAGCCACACUGGAACUGAGACACGGUCCAGACUCCUACGGGAGGCAGCAGUGGGGAAUAUUGCACAAUGGGCGCAAGCCUGAUGCAGCCAUGCCGCGUGUAUGAAGAAGGCCUUCGGGUUGUAAAGUACUUUCAGCGGGGAGGAAGGGAGUAAAGUUAAUACCUUUGCUCAUUGACGUUACCCGCAGAAGAAGCACCGGCUAACUCCGUG